AAGUGGGAGACAGAUGGAUUUCAGUGGGAUGUCAUUAUGAAAAGCAUAUAACCUUCUCCAAAUAAUUAAAAGCAGCAACAAAAGACAAAAAGAAGAAAGCCAUUUGAAUAAAAAUUAACCUUAUAAAUGCAAUAAACAUUUUAAUUCCUUUAACAACAAAAGGUUGGGAGCAUGUUGAAAGAACCCAGAAGCCAACCUGAAAGAGCUCUCUCAAGCAGUCUCUAAGCAGCAGUGACUACUGCAGCUAUUGGCUGGUAAGAACAAAGCAAGCACAAAUGGACUGAAACAGUUUAUGCCUUACAUAGACCACAUACGCAAGAUCACCAUAGUGUCAGCUGCCUUUAUCUCCUCUCCCACA
rnacentral:lncRNA from 10 species